UUUCCGUAGGUGAACCUGCGGAAGGAUCAUUAUUGGAUUUUGAAACUUCAGGCUGCUGCUGGCUCUCCUCGGAGGGCAUGUGCACGCUUGCUGUCCAUUAUUUCUCCCACUGUGCACAAAUUGUAGACCUUUCAGUAGGCCUAUGUUGUUUUUCACAAUCUCUGAAUGUAAUAGAAUGGUUUUGAAUCUUGGGAAAUACAAUACAACUUUCAGCAACGGAUCUCUUGGCUCUCGCAUCGAUAAAGAACGCAGC
rnacentral:misc_RNA from 1 species